CGUCUGUAUUGGCAAAUUGGUCGAUUGCGUCAUGCGCGAAAAUAGAUAUUAUGGUAUACAAAAUUCGUGUACCUUGGGUUCGUGUGCGUCAUAUAUACAUAUAUAUUACGAAUACGGUUCAAAAAUAAAUCGCCUAAUACCUUUACGACCAGUGACUGCUGCUAUAUAUUAUGCAUGUCAUGGAAAAUAUAGGUAGGUAGGUAUAUCGUUUUUGUCACCGCUGAUUCGAAACAUUGUAAGUUGUCAACGAACGGCCGAAUACGAUAUUUAAUAGACG